rnacentral:rRNA from 1 species
CAGUCGCCACGGUAAUACAGAGGAUGCAAGCGUUAUCCGGAAUGAUUGGGCGUAAAGCGUCUGUAGGUGGCUUUUCAAGUCCGCCGUCAAAUCCCAGGGCUCAACCCUGGACAGGCGGUGGAAACUACCGAGCUGGAGUACGGUAGGGGCAGAGGGAAUUUCCGGUGGAGCGGUGAAAUGCGUUGAGAUCGGGAAGAACACCAACGGCGAAAGCACUCUGCUGGGCCGACACUGACACUGAGAGACGAAAGCUAGGGGAGCAAAUGGGAUUAGAUACCCCAGUAGUCCCUGUCUCUUAUAC